UACGUAGGGUGCAAGCGUUGUCCGGAAUUAUUUGGGCGUAAAGAGCUCGUAGGCGGCUUGUCGCGUCGGCUGUGAAAACCUGGGGCUCAACCCCGGGCCUGCAGCCGAUACGGGCAGCUAGAGUUCGGUAGGGGAGACGUGGAAUUCCUGGUGUAGCGGUGAAAUGACGCAGAUAUCAGGAGGAACACCGGUGGCGAAGGCGGGUCUCUGGGCCGAAACUGACGCUGAGGAGCGAAAGCGUGGGGAGCGAACAGG
rnacentral:rRNA from 1 species